GUGUGGAGUUAACUGGUGACUGGGCUCAGUGUUAGUCAGACUUAGCUACUGAAGUAUUUAUAUGUUUUCCCUAAGUAGGAGUGUAUAUCUUCCUGAGCAGAGGAUGGAGUCAGAAGCAAUCCAUCACACAGAUACUAAAGCAGAAAUAAGGAUAAAUCAUUGCACUUCUAAUGAUAGAAUAUCUCCGCUCCACCUCCAAAGACAUAGUCAAGGCCAUGAGAAGAAUAUGGAAGUUGACUCAGAGGGCUCCAAAUCCUGCUGUUAUGGCAAAGAAAGAUUCCUACCACUUUGUUACAGCCUGCUUAUGAAAUGUUCUGUCUGCUUUCAAGAAGAAUAUUGUUUACUUUCACUUCCCCAGGAAACACACCUGCUAGAAUGUUAAAGUUUAACUGAUGGACUGAAUGAUAUGCGCCUCUUCUUUCUUGAGGACUCAUACAUAUAUUAGUAAAUAUUAAUGCAUUUGAUUGUUAAGAA